GCUGCACCAUUUUUCAUUCCAACCAACAGUGCGUAUAAUUUUAAACGUGUUAAAAUUUCUUUGGAAAUAAAUUAUAUUUUAAAACAAGGCAGAACACUUCAAGUAGUGUUAAUAUCUCCUCAUUAACCAUUUACCAUGGUUUUGAAUUUUCUGAGUUUUAUAAUUUGUUGGUUUAGAAGCCAUUAUAAACUUAUUUUUGUGAAAUGUUAAAAGGUGUGUGUUGAUAUUUUCACCCCUACACAGAAAACAAUGACAGCUAAUGAUUGAAGAACUGAAAAUUUAUCUAAUGGAAAUAUACAUCCAUAAAUCCUGUUUCCUCAGGGUCUAAGAAAAUGUCUUUCCCUCCUCUUCUGACUAGAAAACAAAGAUGAAGACCUUUACAGGGCUGAUCCCAUUUCACACUCGUCCUGGGUGUGCAAAGCCUGUUUAGUGAGACCUGCAGGUUAGGCCUGUCGGGGAACCUGUGAGGACCUGUGGUCCUGCAGGGAGACGGUUUCUGUGGGGAGCGUGAUCCCCCGGCUGCGCUGGCGCUCUCUUCCAGGUUCCCAGCAGGACGUGUGGUCCUGCCUCCUGCCUGUCCCACCAAACACUGGCCUGACUGCACUUUGCAGACAGAGGCUCCCCCACUUCCCUACGGACUGAAAAUGGCCUUUUCCAACAAGAUGGGCAUACUUAGGGUCAGGGCUGUCCAAAUGGUGGCCUGUCCCAGCGUGGGCUAUCCUUGGGAAAUGACGUUUUCCUACGGUGAUUCAGGAGAACUUCCCGUGUGUAAUACUCAGUUAGAAAUGAAUAAGAAGUACACAAGGAGGGCAGUGUGCCAGCAGGCUGAGAGUGGCAGGCUGGGUGGCUGGGGUUUGCUUUCCUUUCUGUAUUUUCCACAUUCUUCUACAAUGAACAGGUAUUAGUUGUAUAAUCAUAAAACAGUUUUACCGAAACAUUCGUUUUCCUCAUAUGUUUCAGGCUGCAGGGUCCAGAGGUGGCUGGGUGGGGAGUAGAGAUCAAAGGUAGGCUGGAGGUGGGAGGCUACGAUGGCCACUCAGGGGAGGGUGGGCCGGAUCUCUGCUGAGGCGAGGCGGCCAGCCUAGGAUGGACUCUGUGGGUGUACAGAGAAGGUUCUAGAAGCCUCGUCUCAGAGCAUUCUUUCUGACCUCUACUAAACUGACUGAAAAUGCUGAGGCAACGCUGAGGCCAUAUCUUCCAAGGGCCCACGGCAAGCUCUCCAUGCUGAGCACUCUUUACAAUGUAGGAACGGCAGAAUUCAUGAUUAACUGCUGCUUCCCGCACCUCUGGCUGGCUUCCCUCCCCCUUCCAUCACCUUCACGCUGUUACAAUCUUUCACGUCCUUUUGCUUUUUCAGAAAAGAAGGCCUGCUUGGCUUUGAGGGGCUUGCAGCGAGGGGUGGGGGCAGAGUGGUCACCAAGGCCUUGUGUUAUCUUCCUGAGUUUCAUGCAACAAGCCCUGUGAGUCAUCGUUCCCAUUUCACAGACGAGAGAAUGAGGCUCAAAGACUAAUGACUGAGCAAGGUCACAUGGGUGGAUGCUGUGGGCAAUUGGGACCGGAACCCAUUUGCCGGAUUCUAAAGCAGGACGUCUUCCAUCGAGCAGGAUUCUGCAUGGGGCAUAUUCUCUACGAAACAGCUUCCGAUUCAGGUAACGAGCUGGGGUGAUCUGUGUGCCGCUCAACUACCAGAAUACCUACCCGUGGAUAUGUGGACACUCAACCUGGGAAUUUGGGGGAAAGGAAGAGCUGAUGCACAAAAAGAAAAUGUCGUGCACCUAAGACUUCAUCUUUUCUGUAAAAAUAAAGAUGUGUAUCUCAUUUUGAAGAGAGGAGCAAAGUGAAGCUCUUUUAAAAUACGUAUUUUUAAGGCCACAAUGUCAACACUUUCUCUCUGCCUUGGGCGUUCCCACAUCUGUCACAGCUGUGACCUCAUUCAGGGUAAAUGUCUAGUGACCACCAGAGAUGCUAGGGCAGGAGUGUGGCUUUCUUUCCUGCCACACAGCAGCAUGCCCGGUGCUUCUGGAUAACCUACACCACGGCUGGCAGUGUUCCGGUUUCCUUCCAGCACCCUGUCUUAUGUCUGUCUGUCUUUCCAGCAUGAAAUCCCCUCUGGGACCACACACCGUGACUGUUUAUGGACUGGACUCUUCAGAGUCGAUGCUGAUGGUUGCUCACCGCCAGAGACCCAGCCCACGUGGACAACACAAUGAAAACAUGAGAGCACAAGGGCUGCUCUGGCUUUAUGAAGGAGGGGACCUGAGAACAGUCUUGUAACCCAGUGGACUGUCAGGACCUUGCCUCUCAGUGCCCAGGACAUCGCAGGAAGCCUUCCAACACAGGGAAAAUGACACCAGGCUCCACAGUCACACGAUAUAGUGAAAACCCAAGAGAAAGUGAGAAACUUCCAUUUUAAUAUCAAAGGGGUCCUGUACCUGAUAAUUCCAGUUAGAAAAUUACACAGACUGGACACUGGAAUUUAGCAAAAUUCAGUUUAAGAGUAGAGAGCAUUUUAAAUACAAAAAUAGGUCUUUUAAUUAAAAAGGAACACACAGCAGCCCUGGAUACAUGGACAAAACCCCUGAAAAGCACAAAAGCGGGGCUACAUCUGGAUUUGGUUCCAUAAGCCAAAGGAAGGAAGUUUGACAGUGAAUGUUUUACACUUUUCCAUGACGCCUGGUCUCUUUCUUGACCAGGACACAGCGAGAGGAGCUU